rnacentral:rRNA from 1 species
CAGGCCUAACACAUGCAAGUCGAACGGUAACAUGAACUAGCUUGCUAGUUUGAUGACGAGUGGCGGACGGGUGAGUAAUGCUUGGGAAUUUGCCUUGAGGUGGGGGACAACAGUUGGAAACGACUGCUAAUACCGCAUAUUGUCCACGGACUAAAGGGGGCUUCGGCUCUCGCCUUUAGAGAAGCCCAAGUGGGAUUAGGUAGUUGGUGAGGUAAAGGCUCACCAAGCCGACGAUCCCUAGCUGGUCUGAGAGGAUGAUCAGCCACACUGGAACUGAGACACGGUCCAGACUCCUACGGGAGGCAGCAGUGGGGAAUAUUGCACAAUGGGCGCAAGCCUGAUGCAGCCAUGCCGCGUGUGUGAAGAAGGCCUUCGGGUUGUAAAGCACUUUCAGUCGUGAGGAAGGGUUAGUAGUUAAUACCUGCUAGCUUUGACGUUAGCGACAGAAGAAGCACCGGCUAACUCCGUGCCAGCAGCCGCGGUAAUACGGGGGGUGCGAGCGUUAAUCGGAAUUACUGGGCGUAAAGCGUACGCAGGCGGUUAGUUAAGUCAGAUGUGAAAGCCCCGGGCUCAACCUGGGAACUGCAUUUGAAACUGGCUAACUAGAGUGCGGCAGAGGGUGGUAGAAUUUCAGGUGUAGCGGUGAAAU